UAGAGUUUUUUAAGGUAUUGAGGUAAUC
rnacentral:sRNA from 1 species